UGCUUGUUGCCUGAGCUGACUGACGA
rnacentral:piRNA from 1 species